rnacentral:rRNA from 1 species
GAUGAACGCUGGCGGCGUGCCUAAUACAUGCAAGUCGAGCGAACGGACGGGAAGCUUGCUUCUCUGAUGUUAGCGGCGGACGGGUGAGUAACACGUGGAUAACCUACCUAUAAGACUGGGAUAACUUCGGGAAACCGGAGCUAAUACCGGAUAAUAUUUUGAACCGCAUGGUUCAAAAGUGAAAGACGGUCUUGCUGUCACUUAUAGAUGGAUCCGCGCUGCAUUAGCUAGUUGGUAAGGUAACGGCUUACCAAGGCAACGAUGCAUAGCCGACCUGAGAGGGUGAUCGGCCACACUGGAACUGAGACACGGUCCAGACUCCUACGGGAGGCAGCAGUAGGGAAUCUUCCGCAAUGGGCGAAAGCCUGACGGAGCAACGCCGCGUGAGUGAUGAAGGUCUUCGUAUCGUAAAACUCUGUUAUUAGGGAAGAACAUAUGUGCAAGUAACUGUGCACAUCUUGACGGUACCUAAUCAGAAAGCCACGGCUAACUACGUG